UGGCCCCUUGGUCAAGUGGUUAAGACACCGCCCUUUCACGGCGGUAACAUGGGUUCAAAUCCCGUAGGGGUCAU
rnacentral:tRNA from 1 species